rnacentral:misc_RNA from 1 species
AAGUCGUAACAAGGUUUCCGUAGGUGAACCUGCGGAAGGAUCAUUAACACGUAUCCAAACGUUAAAACCCCCCCCGUGAACCUUCAUCCUGCUCUUGUAACCCGCGUAGUUCGCAAUCUCUGAUAAAUCAUAGCCCGGAAAGUUGUAGUGAUUCAGAGACCUCUGGCUACGUGCGAACAUUGGAACAGUUACAAUCGAGCGGUAGUUCUAUAGGCAAUGUUUCUCCAAGCAGUCAGUGUCGGAAAGUGUCAUUGAUUGUGCAAGGAUAGCGCUUCUACAAUUCCUGUAUGCCCCCUAAUAACCCCACAGUUUAAUGUGAAGCUCAAUGUAAUACAUUGGGUAAAAAAACCGAACAACUGUUAACAAUGGAUAUCUUGGUUCUC